GUUUAUCUACGACAGCUUUAAAAUUAAUCCAUUUGUAGUUGAUUUCUAUUGAAGAUUUCCUUUCAAUUGUUUGGCCACAUAAGAUCGAGCAUUGUCCUGCAAAAAAAUGACAUCAGGCAAGUGCUGUCUUUCACCUUUUAAUGCUGGUCAGAAGUUCUCCGUCUCUUCCCAUUCUGCGCAACAAUAUAAAUGCUAACAUAAAUAUCAUAAAUCUUACGCCAAUCAAUAAUCAUUAUAGAUUUACACCAUAAUAUAAUGUAUUGACAACAAAUGAAAAAAUUAUUUAUUGUACAAAUUAAAAAUACUUUGUAGAAAUAAAUUUCACAAAAUUA